rnacentral:lncRNA from 1 species
GGCUAUUUUAUUAGCUAAUCACUAGCAAGUAUUUACACAUCAUUCAUUGUUCAUAUUAUACCAAAAGUAGCUAAGUUUCUAUACAUGCCAUACCCAAAACAAAACGUCUAGUUAUACCGAGUUAUUUCUUUGAUAGUGUGAUCGGCCUCCGACGUUUCCUUUGAUCCCCGAGUGACUAGAUAAGUACUAUAAGAAUAAGAAAAUAAAGAGAUUAAGCACUAGGCUUAGUAAGCUUACAAGAAAAUAAAUCACAACAUUCAACAUAAUGGAUAAUUAUGCAUAAUAUCAUCUAACAUCAUAAAUUUCUUUACUUCUCAAUUUCUAUAUUCUUCUUUAUUCCCUUACCUUCUUUCUUACCUGACUUUUCCUUUUUCAUAAGUAUAAUCUACUUUUCCUUUGCUGUUAAUUCACUGUAAUUUAACUCGUAUCCUGACCCGUUGAACCACUCGAAAUACUAAGGACACUAGGGUCGUUCCUGUCUAUCAAUAUCCUGCCAAUGCCAUGUCUUUGACAUGGACUUACAUGAAUUAUUCCUGUCUCCAAUGCCAUAUAUAAUAUGGACUUACAUGGCUCAAUCCUGUCUCCAAAGCCAUAUUUCUAAUAUGGACUUACAUGGCUCAUUUCUGUUCUGUCUUGUCAACCCUAAUAUCCUAACAUUCCUAGGGUUCAACCGGGGCUUUCUAACACUUUUCCUCUGUCACUUCACCUUAAAUUCGACUUUAAAUAUUUUCAUAACAUAAACAUAUAAAAGCUGGAAAUUGACAAUAAUAAUGUAAAAUAAAAGAAUAUUGCAUUUAUUUACUGUAACUUACCUUGAUACAAAAUGUGACUAACUUUACAAUUUAGUCCUUUACUUUUUCUUUUCCCCGAUCUACUCCCGAAUUUCGUUCUUCUUGAUCUAUAAUAGCAAAUUUAACUUAUUUAAUAUUCACAUUUAUUAAAACAGUCCUUGACCCAAACUUUUGCAAAAUUAUAUUUUUACCCCUAAACUUUCACAUAUUUGCACUUUUACACCAAGGCUCGUAAAUUAAACUUCAUCCUAUUUUAUUAUGUUUUAUGGCAUGCUGAUCAUUUUUCCCUUCUAUGGCAAUAUCAAAAUCACACUCUAACAUAUACUUAUGACUAUUGAUAUUUUUUUUCCAAUUUAAGCCCUUUUACUCGUUUUCACUUAAAACCGAGUAGCAUAAGUUGUUUAACAUAAUUUAAAACCUCAUAUUCUAUCAUAAAACACCAAAAUACACAAAUUUCAGCCAUGGGUAUUUUUCCAAAUAUGAACCCUAGGUUGAAUUAUUGCUAGAAUAAGCUUAAUCAAGUUACCGGGACUCCAAAAACGUAAAGAUCAUUAAAAACGGGGCUUGGAAUCACUUACUAUGAAACUUGAAAGUUGAAGAAACCCCAGCUAUGGAGGAGAGCAAAAAUCUG